rnacentral:lncRNA from 1 species
UAUCUUCCAUGCUACACACAUUAUAGGCGGUUCCCAAACAGAAUGGUAAAGUUUAUACUCCCCGUCCACCAACAAGCAUCAAUCCAUGGCUUGCUCGAAACAAUGAGUGCCUCCAACUAACAAGAGUCCUGGGGGAGUUUGUUUGCAAUUAUUUUGAUUUGAUUUGCAUAAAGCAUGGGACUGGGCAUCCCGGUGACCAGCAUUUUCUCGUGAGUGAGGAGUGGAAUCCACUCCUCUUGAGAAUAACCCGCCUAGCAUGGAAGAUACAGACAGCCCUAGUUCAUACAUGAGCUAUUCGAGCAUACAAAACAGAAUUUCAUUUGAAGGUUUGGAGUUUGGCACAUACAAAUUUACUUGGAACGGCAGGUAGAUACCGCAUAUAGGAAGGUAUGGUGGACUCAUAUGGAAUUACUUUGGGGUUUAAGGGAUUGGAUGCACAAGCAGUAUUCCCGCUUAGUACAAGUGAAGGCUAGAAAAAGACUGGGAAGCGACCAACUAGAGAGCGACAACAGUCAUAAACUUGCAUUAAAAUUAAUAAACAUUGAGUGCAAGCAUGAGUAGGAUAUAAUCCACCAUGAACAUAAAUAUCGUGAAGGCUAUGUUGAUUUGUUUCAACUACAUGCGUGAACAUGUGCCAAGUCAAGUCACUUGAAUCAUUCAAAGGAGGAUACCACCCUACUAUACCACAUCACAAUCAUUUUAAUAGCAUGUUGGCACGCAAAAUACCAUUAUAAACUCAUAGCUAAUUAAGCAUGGCAUAAGUAACUAUAAUCUCUAAUUGUCAUUGCAAACAUGUUCAUUCAUAAUAGGAUGAAUCAGGAACAAUGAACUAAUCAUAUUUACAAAAACAAGAGAGGUCGAGUUCAUACCAGCUUCUCUCAUCUCAAUCAGUCCAUCAUAUAUCGUCAUUAUUGCCUUUCACUUGCACGGCCGAACAGUGUGUAUAAUAAUAAUAGUGCACGUGCAUUGGACUAAGCUGGAAUCUGCGAGCAUUCAAUAAAUAGGAGAAGACAAGGUAAUAUGGGCUCUUGGUUAAAUCAACAAUAAUGCAUAUAAGAGCCACUUCAACAUUUUCAUUAUGGUCUUCUCCUAUCGACCCCCAAAGAAAAGAAAAGAAAUAAAACUAUUUACACGGGAAAGCUCCCAACAAGCAAAAGAAGAACGAGAAAUCUUUUUGGGUUUUCUUUUAAUUACUACUACAAGCAAGAAAGUAAACUAGCUAAAAGCUACAACUAAUUUUUUUGGUUUUUCUUAAGGUUUUUCAAACACACGAGAAGAAAGCAUAAAAAAGGAAAAUAAACUAGCAUGGAUGAUACAAUGAAAUAGUAUGAGCACCGACAACUAGCAAUGAGUGUGUGAACAUGAAUGUAAUGUCGAUGAGAAAUACGUACUCCGCCAAGCUUAGGCUUUCGGCCUAAGUUGGUCUAUUGCCACGGUUGGCCUGGCGGAUAUCCAAAGUUGUAACUGGGGUCGUACUGAGAUGAAGCCUCAGGUUGCCACUGGCUGGCCACCUCCUCCGGAUCCCACUGGUAAACAGACUAGCGUGGAGGAACAAAUUGUGGUUCCGGAUCUGGCUUUGUAGCUGAGGUGGGUUUCCGGUAGGCGUGAAUGGCCUCCAGCGGAACAAGGUACUUGCAUGCAGAGAAAUCAAACAAGGAAGGAGCAGGCAAAGUAAUAAUCUCAGGGUGAUUUUUAUCAAAUAACAGUCUAUAUUUAAGCUCCUUUUUCUUGUUCUUAACAAUGAAAUCAUGUGCAACCAUACUCUUGUAGUCUAGAAAAACAGUAGGCAACAAUUUUUCUUCUUUCUCAUAAUGCCUAAUAGGUAUGUUAAAGUACGCAGUGAGGCGCGAGGCGAAGAUGCCUCCCAAGAUGGGGCCCUUAGUACGGUUAACAUUUAACCGCUUUGCAACAAUAGCGCCCAUGCUAAAUGUAUCAUCACGAAACAAGGCAUGGCACAAAAAGAACAAUAUCAGGGGCACUAAGGUUGCCAUAGUUUCCGCGACCAAUUAAGCAUCUACUAGCAAAUAUUGUGAAGUAGCGUAAAACAAGAAAAUGUAUGCUAGUGAUUCAUGCAUCGGAAACCUUUCUAGUUUCCCCUACAGCAAUUGUAUCGAUAAACCCCUUCACAUCGUCACGGCGUGGUUCCUCUAUGCUACCCAAAAAGGGCAAUUUGCAAACUUGACAAAAUUCAGAGAGGGGCAUCUCCUUAUACUCAUCAUAUAAACAAAAAUCCACCGAAGGUGGUGACCUCCUAGCAUGGAAAUGAAAAUUUUGCACAAAGAUAUUAGUGAGUAAGAGGUAUUGUUCACGUUGGUCGCGGAGGAAGUCGGUGAGGCCUGCAUUAUCAGCCAACUCAUAAAAACCAUCAUAAAUCCCGGCUGCUCUCAAGAAAUCAUCACAAGGCCAUUCACACGGCCGAACUUCCGCGGUGCGAGGGAGAUUAUAUUUGGGCCUCUCUUCUUCUUCACUUUGCUUAUCCUUCGAGCUUCGGCUUGAAGAACCCCUCAAAAAUCUCUUCAUCAUUUUCUGAAAUUUUUAGUAACUUCAAAUAAAAGUGAACCAAACUCAACAAAAUUGAUAGCAACUACUCCCACAAGUGCCUAGAGACUAUAUCAUGCAUUAGAACUAAUUGGGACCAUAUAAAUUUGACAUGCAAGCUCAAGAUCAGGGUCACCUAAGCAGCAAAAAUUUGCAAUGAAUAAAGCACUAGAACAAAAACUAAUUGGACCAUUGGAGGAGUCACAUACCGAAGAACAAUCCCCCAAAGCAGUUUUGUGAGUGGAGCUUUGAGCAGGGAGAUCGAAAAUGGCAGCAAAAUGAGCAAGAAAUCGUGCUUGAUCUGGUUGGUUAUUUUUUUGGGAGGAAGAAGGAGUGUGUGGUGGCUGGAAUAAGUGGAGGGGAGCCACCAUGGGCCCACGAGGCAGGGGGGUGCGCCCAGGGGGUGGGCGCGCCCUGCACCCUCGUGGCCAGGUGGUUACCCCCUCUGGUGUGUUCUCAGUGCCAAUAAUUCUUAAAUAUUCGACAAAAAAUCAUAUUCAUUUUCGGGGCAUUUGGAGAACUUUUAUUUUUGGGGUAUUUUUUAUUGCACGGAUAAAUCAGAAAACAGACAGAAAAUACUAUUUUGCUUUAUUUAAUCUAAAUAACAGAAAGUUAAAGGAGGGUACAGAAGGUUGUGCUUUCUAACUUCAUCCAUCUCAUGCUCAUCAAAAGGAAUCCACUAACAAGGUUUAUCAAGUCUUGUUAACAAACUCAUUCCGAAUAACAUGGAACCGGAGAAAUUUCGAAUAACACUAUGUUACCUCGACGGGGAUAUGCACAUCCCCAACAAUAAGAAUAUCAUAGGCCUUUUUGACAGUAGGAAGAGGAAAUUCAAAACCUCCAAUAGUAAUCGAUGGAAUUUUUUCAAUAGAAUUGAUAUUGUGGACUUGCGGUUGUUUCCUCGAAAAGUGUACCGUAUGCUCAUUACCAUUAACAUGAAAAGUGACAUUGCCUUUGUUGCAAUCAAUAACAGCCCCUGCAGUAUUCAAAAAGGGUCUUCCAAGAAUAAUAGACAUACUAUCGUCCUCGGGAAUAUCAAGAAUAACAAAGUCCGUUAAAAUAGUAACAUUUGCAACCACAACAGGCACAUCCUCACAAAUACCGACAGGUAUAGCAGUUGAUUUAUCAGCCAUUUGCAAAGAUAUUUCAGUAGGUGUCAACUUAUUCAAAUCAAGUCUACGAUAUAAAGAGAGAGGCAUAACACUAACACCGGCUCCAAGAUCACACAAAGCAGUUCUAACAUAGUUUCUUUUAAUGGAGCAUGGUAUAGUUGGUACUCCUGGAUCUCCAAGUUUCUUUGGUAUUCCACCCUUAAAAGUAUAAUUAGCAAGCAUGGUGGAAAUUUCAGCUUCCGGUAUCUUUCUUUUAUUUGUAACAAUAUCUUUCAUAUACUUAGCAUAAGGAUUCAUUUUGAGCAUAUCAGUCAAACGUAUACGCAAGAUGAUAGGUCUAAUCAUUUCAGCAAAGCGCUCAAAAUCCUCAUCAUCCUUUUUCUUGGAUGGUUUAGGAGGAAAAGGCAUGGGUUUCUGAACCCAUGGUUCUCUUUCUUUACCGUGCUUCCUAGCAACAAAGUCUCUCUUAUCAUAACGUUGAUUCUUUGAUUGUGGGUUAUCAAGAUCAACAGCAGGUUCAAUUUCUACAUCAUUGUUAUUACUAGGUUGAGCAUCAACAUGAACACCAUCAUUAACAUUAUCACUAGGUUCAUGUUCAUUUCCAGAUUGUGUUUCAGCAUCAGAAAUAGAAAUAUCAUUGGGAUUCUCAGGUGUGGCAACAAUAGGUUUACUAGAAGCAUACAAAGUCCUAUCAUUUUUCUUUUUCUUCCUUUUAGAAGGACUAGGUGUAUCAACAUUAUUUCUUUGAGAAUCCUGCUCAAUUCUCUUAGGGUGGCCCUCAGGAUACAAAGGUUCCUGGGUCACUUUACGUCCUCUAGUUGCAACUCUAACAGCAAAGUCAUUAUUCUUACUAUUCCAUUCAUUCAGCAAAUCAUUUUGAGCCACUUGUUCUACUUGAGUGGUGACCAUAGAAGCAUGUUUACUAAUGAGUUUAAGUUCACCUUUAACUCUAGACAUAUAAUCACUCAAGUGUUCAAUCAUAUAACCAUUGCAUUUUAAUUCUCUACCAAAAUAAGCAUUGAAGUUUUCUUGCUUAACCAUAAAGUUAUCAAACUCAUCCAAACAUUGUCUAGCAAACUUAGUAGGAGGGAUUUCAGCUUUAUCAUAUCUAUAAAGAGAAUUUACCUUUACUACCUGUGUCGGGUUAUCAAGACCAUGUGUUUCUUCAGCAGGCGGUAAAUUAAGACCAUGUAUUUCUUCAACAGGAGGUAAAUUCUUAACAUCUUCAGCUUUAAUACCUUUUUCCUUCAUAGAUUUGUUUGCCUCUUGCAUAUCUUCAGGACUGAGAAAUAGAAUACCCCUUUUCUUUGGAGUUGGCUUAGGAGUUGGUUCAGGAAGUGUCCAAUUGUUUUCAUUAGUCAACAUAUUAUUCAAUAGAAUUUCAUCUUGAUCAACAGUUCUUUCCCUGAAAACACAACCAGCACAACUAUCCAAGUGGUCUCUGGAAGCAUCGAUUAGUCCAUUAUAAAAGAUAUCAAGUAUUUCAUUUUUCUUGAGAGGGUGAUCAGGCAAAGCAUUAAGUAAUUGGAGAAGCCUCCCCCAAGCUUGUGGGAACUCUCUUCUUCAAUUUGCACAAAAUUAUAUAUUUCCCUUAAGGCAGCUUGUUUCUUAUGAGCAGGGAAAUAUUUAGCAGAGAAGUAAUAAAUCAUAUCCUGGGGACUACGCACACAACCAAGAUCAAGAGAAUUAAACCAUAUCUUAGCAUCACCCUUUAAUGAGAACGGAAAUAAUUUAAGGAUAUAAUAGUAGCGAGUUUUCUCAUCAUUAGUGAACAGGGUGGCUAUAUCAUUUAAUGUAGUAAGAUGUGCCACAACAGUUUCAGAUUCAUAGCCAUAAAAAGGAUCAGAUUCAACCAAAGUAAUUAUCUCAGGAUCAACAGAGAAAUCAUAAUCCUUAUCAGUAACAAAGAUAGGUGAAGUAGCAUAAGCAGGAUCAUAUUUCAUUCUAGCAUUCAGAGUUUUUUCUUUAAGCUUAACUAAUAAUUUCUUAAGAUCACUUCUAUCAUUGCAAGCAAGAAAGUCUCUAGCAGUUUCUUCAUCCAUAACAUAACCCUCAGGCACAACAGGCAAUUCAUAUCUAGGGGGAGAAUCUUCAUCAUCACUUUCAUCAAUAUUAUCAGUUUCAAUAAUUUCAUUCUCUCUAGCCCUAGCAAGUUGUUCAUCAAGAAAUUCACCAAGUGGCAUAGUAGUAUCAAGCAUAGAAGUAGUCUCAUCAUAAGUAUCAUGCAUAGCAGAAGUGGCAUCAUCAAUAACAUGUGACAUAUCUGAAUUAAUAGCAGAAGCAGGUUUAGGUGUCGCAAGCUUACUCAAAACAGAAGGUGAAUCAAGUGCAGAGCUAGAUGGCAGUUCCUUACCUCCCCUCGUAGUUGAGGGAUAAAUUUUAGUUUUCUCGUCUUUCAAGUUCUUCAUAGUGACCAGCAGAUAUAAAUCCCAAGUGACUCAAAGAAUAGAGCUAUGCUCCCCGGCAACGGUGCCAGAAAAUAGUCUUGAUAACCCACAAGUAUAGGGGAUUGCAACAGUUUUUGAGGGUAGAGUAUUCAACCCAAAUUUAUUGAUUCGACACAAGGGGAGCCAAAGGAUAUUCUCAAGUAUUAGAAGUUGAGAUGUCAAUUCAACCACACCUGGAUAACUUAGUAUCUGCAGCAAAGUGUUUAGUAGCAAAGUAGUAUGAUAGUAACGGUAAUGGUAGCGAAAGUAAUAUUUUUGGGUUUUGUAGUGAUUGUAACAGUAGCAACGGAAAAGUAAAUAAGCGAAGAACAAUAUGUGAAAAGCUCGUAGGCAUUGGAUCGGCGAUGGAGAAUUAUGCCGGAUGCGGUUCAUCAUGUAACAGCAUAACAUAGGGUGACACAGAACUAGCUCCAAUUAAUCAAUGUAAUGUAGGCUUGUAUUCCGAAUAUAGUACGUGCUUAUGGAAAAGAACUUGCAUGACAUAUUUUGUCCUACCCUCCCGUGGCAGCGGGGUCCUAUUGGAAAUUAAGGGAUAUUAAGGCCUCCUUUUAAUAGAGUACCGGACCAAAGCAUUAACACAUAGUGAAUACAUGAACUCCUCAAACUAUGGUCAUCACCGGGAGUGGUCGUGAUUAUUGUCACUUCGGGGUUGCCGGAUCAUAACACAUAGUAGGUGACUAUAGACUUGCAAGAUAGGAUCAAGAACUCACAUAUAUUCAUGAAAACAUAAUAGGUUCAGAUCUGAAAUCAUGGCACCCGGGCCCUGGUGACAAGCAUUAAGCAUAGCAAAGUCAUAGCAACAUCAAUCUCAGAACAUAGUGGAUACUAGGGAUCAAACCCUAACAAAACUAACUCGAUUACAUGAUAAAUCUCAUCCAACCCAUCACCGUCCAGCAAGCCUACAAUGGAAUUACUCACGCACGGCGGUGAGCAUCAUGAAAUUGGUGAUGGAGGAUGGUUGAUGAUGACGAUGGCGACGGAUUCCCCUCUCCGGAGCCCUGAACGGACUCCAGAUCAGCCCUCCCGAGAGAGAUUAGGGCUUGGCGGCGGCUCCGUAUCGUAAAACGUGAUGAAUCCUUCUCUCUGAUUUUUUUCUCCCCGAGCGUGAAUAUAUAGAGUUGGAGUUGAGGUCGGUGGAGCACCAGGGGGCCCACGAGGCAGGGGGCGCGCCCAGGGGGCAGGCGCGCCUCCUACCCUCGUGGACAGGGUGUGGGCCCCCUGGCCUUGAUUCUUUCGCCAGUAUUUUUUAUUAUUUACAAAAAUAAUCUCCGUGAAGUUUCAGGUCAUUCCGAGAACUUUUGUUUUGCACAAAGAUAACACCAUGGCAAUUCUGCUGAAAACAGCGUCAGUCCGGGUUAGUUCCAUUCAAAUCAUGCAAGUUAGAGUCCAAAACAAGGGCAAAAGUGUUUGGAAAAGUAGAUACGACGGAGACGUAUCAUCCCUCGCAUUACAUUAUUUGCCAUUUGCCUCUCGUUUUCCUCUCCCCCACUUCACCUUUGUCAUUUUAUUCGCCCCCUCUUUCUGUUCGCCUCUUUUUCGCUUGCUUCUUGUUUGCUUGUGUGUUGGAUUGCUUGUUUGUCACGAUGGCUCAAGAUAAUACUAAAUUGUGUGACUUUGCCAAUACCAACAACAAUGAUUUUCUUAGAACUCCGAUUGCUCCUCUUACCGAUGCUGAAUCUUUUGAAAUUAAUGCUGCUUUGUUGAAUCUUGUCAUGAAAGAUCAAUUCACCUCCCUUCCUAGUGAAGAUGCCGCUACCCAUCUAAAUAGCUUUGUUGAUUUGUGUGAUAUGCAAAAUAAGAAAGAUGUGGACAAUGAUAUUGUUAAAUUGAAGCUAUUUCCUUUUUCGCUUAGAGAUCGUGCUAAAACUUGGUUUUCGUCUUUGCCUAAAGUUAGUAUUGAUUCUUGGAAUAAGUGCAAAGAUGCUUUUAUCUCUAAGUAUUUUCCUCCCGCUAAGAUCAUCUCUCUUAGAAACGAUAUUAUGAAAUUUAAGCAACUUGAUCAUGAACAUGUUUCACAAGCUUGGGAGAGAAUGAAAUUAAUGAUACGUAAUUUCCCUACACAUGGUUUGAACUUAUGGAUGAUUAUACAAAAAAUUUAUGCCGGAUUGAAUAUUUCUUCUAGAAAUCUUUUAGAUUCGGCCGCGGGAGGCACUUUUAUGGAAAUCACUUUAGGAUAAGCUACUAAACUCCUAGAUAAUAUUAUGGUUAAUUAUUCUCAAUGGCACACUGAAAGAUCUACUUGUAAAAAGGUACAUGCAAUUGAAGAGAUUAAUGUUUUGAGUGGAAAGAUGGAUGAACUUAUGAAAUUGUUUGCUAAUAAGAGUGUUUCUUCUGAUCCCAAUGAUAUGCCUUUGUCUACUUUGAUUGAGAAUAAUAAUGAACCUAUGGAUGUGAAUUUUGUUGGUAGGAACAAUUUUGGUAACAACGCAUAUAGAGGAAACUUUAAUCAACGCAAAGAAAGAACCGCUAGGAUGCGUGCAGGGAAGAAGAAGGCGUGGGUAAAAAGGAGGAGUCCUUGUCCCUUUAUAAGGGCGGAGGAAACUGUGCGCCUCCUCACCUGCCUAGUAAACUCGCUUAUUCCCCAAGCGCCAUGAUUAAUGGCGCGGUUGGGUUACCCACACCCGUAUUGAUGAGAAUCCUGUAAUAAGGGGACACGAUCUCUGCUUCGACAAGACGUGCCAUGAAAACCGCCUCGCAAUAUGUGCAGUAGCUGGUUGAGAAAAACGGUUCGAAUAAUGACCGGACCACGGCGUGAUGUCACGUUGUCAGCAGAUUAGAUUUAUGGAAAUAUUAUACUCUCUAUGGUGGUAUGUGGAAUUUGUUUUGCAGAGCCGGACACGAUCCUUGUGUUCAAAAUCUUCUAUGGAGUAUUCGGAGGAGGAACCCGCCUUGCAAUGCCGAAGACGAUCUGUGCGCCGGACUCAUCGUCAUUGAAGCCUGGUUCAGGGGCUACUGAGGGAGUCCUGGAUUAGGGGGUCCUCAGACUACCGGACUAUAUACUUUGGCCGGACUGUUGGACUAUGAAGAUACAAGAUUGAAGACUUCGUCCCGAGUUCAGAUGGGACUCUCCUUUGCGUGGAAGGCAAGCGUGGCAAUUCGGAUAUGUAGAUCUCCUCCCUUGUAACCGAAUCUGUGUAACCCUAGCCCCCUCCGAUGUCUAUAUAAACCGGAGGGUUUAGUCCGUAGGACACCAACAAUCAUAAUCAUAGGCUAGCUUCUAGGGUUUAGCCUCUAUGAUCUCGUGGUAGAUCAACUCUUGUAAUACUCAUAUCAUCAAGAUCAAUCAAGCAGGAAGUAGGGUAUUACCUCCAUCGAGAGGGCCCGAACCUGGGUAAACAUUGUGUCUCCCGCCUCCUGUUACCAUCCGCCUUAGACGCACAGUUCAGAACCCCCUACCCAAGAUCCGCCGGUUUUGACACCAACAAUGAGUGCAAAGAAAGAACCGCUAGGAUGCGUGCUAAGAAAGAUUGCUUUAUAAAAGCGUGUUCUUCUAGUUUUCAUGAUAAAAAGGAUGAAGAUCUAAAAGUGAUUGAUGUGUCUCCUAUUAAAUCUUUGUUUUGCAAUAUGAAUCUUGAUAAUGAUGGGACUGGAGAUGAGUCAACUUUAAUUAAAAGGCGUCCCAAUGAUUCGGAGUUUUUAGAUCUUGAUGCAAAAAUUGGUAAAAGUGGGAUUGAAGAGGUCAAAACUUUACAUAGCAAUGAACCCACUAUUUUGGAUUUCAAGGAAUUUAAUUAUGAUAAUUGUUCUUUAAUAGAUUGUAUAUCCUUGUUGCAAUCCGUGCUAAAUUCUCCGCAUGCUUAUAGUCAAAAUAAGGCUUUUACUAAACAUAUCGUUGAUGCUUUAAUGCAAUCUUAUGAAGAAAAGAUUGAAUUGGAAGUUUCUAUCCCUAGAAAACUUUAUGAUGAGUGGGAACCUACUAUUAAAAUUAAAAUUAAAGAUCAUGAAUGCUAUGCUUUGUGUGAUUUGGGUGCUAGUGUUUCCACGAUUCCAAAAACUUUGUGUGAUAUGUUAGGUUUCCAUGAAUUUGAUUAUUGUUCUUUAAACUUGCACCUUGCGAAUUCCACCAUUAAGAAACCUAUGGGAAGAAUUAAUGAUUUCCUUAUUGUUGCAAAUAGGAAUUAUGUGCCCGUAGAUUUCGUUGUCCUUGAUAUAGAUUGCAAUCCUUCAUGUCCUAUUAUUCUUGGUAGACCUUUCCUUAGAACGAUUGGUGCAAUUAUUGAUAUGAAAGAAGGGAAUAUCAGAUUCCAAUUUCGGUUAAGGAAAGGCGUGGAACACUUUCCUAGAAAGAAAAUUAAAUUACCUUAUGAAUCUAUUAUGAGAGCCACUUAUGGAUUGCACACCAAAGAUGGCAAUACCUAGAUCUAUCCUUGCCUUUAUGCCUAGCUAGGGGCGUUAAACGAUAGCGCUUGUUGGGAGGCAACCCAAUUUUAUUUUAAUUUCUUGAUUUUUGGUUCUGUUUAGUAAUAAAUAAUCCAUCUAGCUUCUAUUUAGAUAUGGUUUUAUGUUUUAAUUAGUGUUUGUGCCAAGUAGAAGCUUUGGGAAGACUUGGGUGAAGUCUUUUUGAUCUUGCUGUAAAAAACAGGAACUUUAGCGCUCACGCGAUUAGCUACAACUUUUUACUGGAGAGUGCUAUUUUGUUGAUUAUUUUUGAAGAUGAUUAAUAGAUAAAUUCCUCACGUCCAGAAAUUUAUUUUAGAAUUUUUGGAGUUCCAGAAGUAUGCGUUUGAUACAGAUUACUACAGAUUGUUCUGUUUUUGACAGAUUCUGUUUUUCGUGUGUUGUUUGCUUAUUUUAAUGAAUCUAUGGCUAGUAUCGGAGGUUACGAACCAUAGAAAAUUUGUAAUACAGUAGGUUUAACACCAAUAUAAAUAAAGAAUGACUUCAUUACAGUACCUUAAAGUGGUGUUUUGUUUUCUUUCGCUAACGGAGCUCACGAGAUUUCCUGUUAAGUUUUGUGUUGUGAAGUUUUCAAGUUUUGGGUAAAGAUUUGAUGGAUUAUGGAACAAGGAGUGGCAAGAGCCUAAGCUUGGGGAUUCCCAAGGCACCCCAAGGUAAAAUCCAAGGACAACCAAAAAGCCUAAGCUUGAGUAUGCCCCGCAAGGCAUCCCCUCUUUUGUCAUCAUCCAUCGGUAACUUUACUUGGAGCUAUAUUUUUAUUCACCACAUGAUAUGUGUUUUGCUUGGAGCGUCUUGUAUGAUUUGAUUCUUUGCUUUUUAGUUCACCACAAUCAUCCUUGCUGUACACACCUUUUGAGAGGGACACACAUUAUUCGGAAUUUAUUAGAAUACUCUAUGUGCUUCACUUAUAUCUUUUGAGCUAAACAAUUUUUCUCUAGUGCUUCACUUAUAACUUUUAGAGCACGGCGGUGGUUUAUUUUAUAGAAAUUAUUGAUCUCUCAUGCUUCACUUAUAUUAUUUUGAGAGUCCUUUGGAACAUCAUGGUAAUUUGCUUUGGUUAUAAAAUUAGUCCUAAUAUGAUAGGCAUCCAAGAUGGAUAUAAUAAAAACUUCCAUAUAAGUGCAUUGAAUACUAGGAGAAGUUUGAUACUUGAUGAUUGUUUUGAGAUAUGGAGAUAGUGAUAUUAAAGUUGUGCUAGUUGAGUAGUUGUGAAUUUGAGAAAUACUUGUGUUGAAGUUUGCAAGUCCCGUAGCAUGCACGUGUGGUAAACAUUGUGUAACAAAUUUGAAACAUGAGGUGUUCUUAGAUUGUCAUCCUUAUGAGUGGCGGUCGGGGACGGGCGAUGAUCUUUUCCUACCAAUCUAUCCCCCUAGGAGCAUGCGCGUAGUGCUUGGUUUUUGAUGACUUGUAGAUUUUUGCAAUAAGUAUGUGAGUUCUUUAUGAUUAAUGUUGAGUCCAUGGAUUAUACGCACUCACAACCUUCCAUCAUUGCUAGCCUCUUCGGUACCGUGCAUUGCCCUUUCUCACCUUGAGAGUUGGUGCAAACUUCGCCGGUGCAUCCAAACCCCGUGAUAAGAUACGCUCUAUCACACAUAAACCUCCUUAUAUCUUCCUCAAAACAGCCACCAUACCUACCUAUUAUGGCAUUUCCAUAGCCAUUCCGAGAUAUAUUGCCAUGCAACUUUCCACCGUUCCAUUUUUUAUGACACGCUUCAUCAUUGUCAUUUUGCCUUGCAUGAUCAUGUAGUUGACAUCGUAUUUGUGGCAAAGCCACCAUGCAUAUUAUUUCAUACAUGUCACUCUUGAUUCGUUGCUCAUCUUGGUAUACCGCCGGAGGCAUUCAUAUAGAGACAUAUUUUGUUCUAAGUAUCGAGUUGUAAUCAUUGAGUUGUAAAUGAAUACAAGUGUGAUGAUCAUCAUUAAUAGAGCAUUGUCCCAAAAAAAGAGAAAGGCCAAAAAAAAGAAAAGGCCCAAAAAAAGAGAAAUAAAAAGGGGCAAUGCUACUGUCCUUUUUCCACAUUUGUGCUUCAAAGUAGCACCAUGAUCUUUAUGAUAGAGAGUCUCUUGUUUUGUCACUUCCAUAUACUAGUGGGAAUUUUUCAUUAUAGAACUUGGCUUGUAUAUUCCAACAAUGGGCUUCCUCAAAUGCCCUAGGUCUUCGUGAGCAAGCAAGUUGGAUGCACACCCACUUAGUUUAUUUUGUUGAGCUUUCAUACAUUUAUAGCUCUAGUGCAUCCGUUGCAUGGCAAUCCCUACUCCUUGCAUUGACAUCAAUUGAUGGGCAUCUCCCUAGCCCGUUGAUUAGCCGCGUCAAUGUGAGACUUUCUCCCUUUUUGUCUUCUCCACACAACCCCCAUCAUUAUAUUCUAUUCCACCCAUAGUGCUAUAUCCAUGGCUCACGCUCAUGUAUUGAGUGAAAGUUGAAAAAAGUUUGAGAUUACUAAAGUAUGAAACAAUUGCUUGGCUUGUCAUCGGGGUUGUGCAAGAUGAGAGCAUCUUGUGUGACGAAAAUGGAGCAUGACCAAACUAUAUGAUUUGGUAGGGAUGAACUUUCUUUGGCCAUGUUAUUUUGAGAAGACAUAAUUGCUUAGUUAGUAUGCUUCAAGUAUUAUUAUUUUUAUGUCAAUAUUAAACUUUUAUCUUGAAUCUUUCGGAUCUGAACAUUCAUGCCACAACAAAGAAAAUUACAUUGAAGAAUAAGUAGCAUUCCACAUCAAAAAUUCUGUUUUUAUCAUUUACCUACUCGAGGACGAGCAGGAAUUAAGCUUGGGGAUGCUUGAUACGUCUCCAACGUAUCUAUAAUUUUUUAUUGCUCCAUGCUAUUAUAUAUUCUGUUUUGGAUGUUUAAUGGGCUUUAUUAUACACUUUUAUAUUAUUUUUGGGACUAACCUAUUAACCCAAGGCCCAGUGCAAAUUGCUGUCUUCUGCCUAUUUCAGUGUUUCGCAGAAAAGGAAUAUCAAACGGAGUCCAAACGGAAUGAAACCUUCGGGAGCGUGAUUUUUGGAACAAACGUGAUCCAGAGGACUUGGAGUGGACGUCAAGAAACGAACGAGGAGGCCACGAGGCAGGGGGCGCGCCUACCCCCCUGGGUGCGCCCUCCACCCUCGUGGGCCCCUCGUGGCUCCACCGACCUACUUCUUCCUCCUAUAUAUACCUACGUACCCUGAAACCAUCGAGGAGCACCACGAAACCCUAUUUCCACCGCCGCAACCUUCAGUACCCGUGAGAUCCCAUCUUGGGGCCUUUUCCGGUGCUCCGCCGAAGGGGGAAUCGAUCACGCAGGGCUUCUACAUCAACACCAUAGCCUCUCCGUUGAUGUGUGAGUAGUUUACCACAGACCUUCGGGUCCAUAGUUAUUAGCUAGAUGGCUUCUUCUCUCUCUUUGGAACUCAAUACAAAGUUCUCCUCGAUCUUCUUGGAGAUCUAUUCGAUGUAACUCUUUUUUGCGGUGUGUUUGUCGAGAUCCGAUGAAUUGUGGGUUUAUGAUCAAGAUAUGUAUGAACAAUAUUUGAAUCUUCUCUGAAUUCUUUUAUGUAUGAUUGGUUAUCUUUGCAAGUCUCUUCGAAUUAUCAGUUUGGUUUGGCCUACUAUAUUGAUCUUUCUUGCAAUGGGAGAAGUGCUUAGCUUUGGGUUCAAUCUUGCGUUGCUCGAUCCCAGUGACAGAAAGGGAAACGACACGUAUUGUAUUGUUGCCAUCGAGGAUAAAAAGAUGGGGUUUAUAUCAUAUUUCUUGAGUUUAUCCCUCUACAUCAUGUCAUCUUACCUAAUGCGUUACUCCGUUCUUAUGAACUUAAUACUCUAGAUGCAUGCUGGAUAGCGGUCGAUGUGUGGAGCAAUAGUAGUAGAUGCAGGCAGGAGUCGGUCUACUUGUCACGGACGUGAUGCCUAUAUACAUGAUCAUGCCUAGAUAUUCUCAUAAUUAUGCACUUUUCUAUCAAUUGCUCGACAGUAAUUUGUUCACCCACCGUAAUACUUAUGCUAUCUUGAGAGAAGCCACUAGUGAAACCUAUGGCCCCCGGGUCUAUUUUCCAUCAUAUUAAUCUUCCCUCAACUAGCUAUUUCUAGCACCGUUUAUUUUGCAAUCUUUACUUUUAAUCUUUAUCAUAAAAAUACCAAAAAUAUUAUCUUAUCAUCUCUAUCAGAUCUCACUUUUGCAAGUGGCCGUGAAGAUAUUGACAACCCCUUUAUCGCGUUGGUUGCUAGGUUCUUAUUUAUUUGUGUAGGUACGAGGGACUUGCGUGUGGCCUCCUACUGGAUUGAUACCUUGGUUCUCAAAAAUUGAGGGAAAUACUUACGCUACUUUGCUGCAUCACCCUUUCCUCUUCAAGGGAAAACCAAUGCAUGCUCAAGAGGUAGCACUUCUUACCAGUUAGGAGCUCAUAGGAUGUCUUCUUUAGAAGCUUGUGAAGAUAAACACGGUUGAUGACAUGGCAUGCAGUAUCAAUGGCUUCAGGCCAGAACUUCCUUGGAGUCUUGUACUCAUCAAGCAUCGUCCGAGCCAUCUCAAUGAGUGUUCUGUUCUUGCGCUCCACGAUACCAUUCUACUAAGGUGUGUAUGGAGCUGAGAACUCAUGAGCGAUGCCCAAUGUAUCAAGAUAAGUGUCGAGGCCGGUGUUCUUGAACUCUGUGCCGUUGUCACUUCUGAUGUGCUUGAUCUUGAUGCCAUAGUUCGUCGUGGCACGAUUGGUGAAACGUCUGAAGACAUCCUGCACUUCAUUCUUGUAAAGGAUCAUAUGCAUCCAUGUGUAUCUUGAAUAAUCAUCAACAAUGACGAAGCCAUAGAGGCAAGCAGUGGUAGUAAGAGUAGAGUAGUGAGUAGGGCCAAAUAAGUCCAUGUGAAGCAGCUCGAAGGGUUGAGAUGUCGUCAUGAUUGUCUUCGAGGGAUGCUUGGCCCUUGUCAUCUUUCUAGCUUCGUAGGCACCACACAGAUGAUCCUUCUUGAACUUGACGCCCUUGAUGCCUACGACAUGUUUCUUCUUUGCGAGUGUGUACAAGUUCCUCAUGCCAGCAUGCCCUAGCCUCCGAUGCCAGAGCUAGCACUCUGAAGCUUUUGCUAGAAGACAUAAGACCAACUGUUGUCCUGCUGAGAAAUCUACCUUAUACAGAUCAUCUUUCCGAUACCCUUCAAAGACUAGAGACUUGUCAGAUUCCAUUAGAACAAGGCAACGAUAUUUUCCAAAUAUCACAAUCAUGUUCAAAUCACAAAGCAUUGAGACAGACAUUAAGUUGAAACCAAGGGAUUCAACAAGCAUCACUUUAUCCAUGUGCUGAUCCUUUGAGAUUGCAACUCUACCUAGACCCAAUACCUUGCUUUUACCAGUGUCAGCAAAUGUGAUGUGACUCUUGUCAGAUGGACGUAAGGUUGAGUCCAUGAGAAGACUUCGAUCACCAGUCAUGUGAUUAGUGCAUCCACUGUCCAUAAUCCAUUCUAAAGCCUUUGGUGUCAUACCCUACGGUGCAGUUAGGGGGAUAGGCUUCACCAAGGGUAUUGUGAAGCAUAAACAUUUGACGAAUGAGUGGAUUAUGAAAGUUCAGAUCCUGGUUAGGGUAGAUAGGAUGACUGUCAAGGAAACCAGGAACAAAAUACAUAGUAAGACCAUUUGGGCAUUUUAUCUUGCGCCCCACAAGAUGUUUUAGGUCCCCAGCAAUAGCAUCAGACGCCUUUGAUUUCCGGCUGGAGACCUUUCCCUGCAAAAGAGAGUUAAGUUUUCUUAACCACCCACAUUUUCAGGGGUGGCUUCGAAGCAAUGAGUCUAAGUGCAGCAUCUGAGAACUUCGGCUUGGGAGCCCUAGCAAAUAGCCUUGGAGGAGGUGAAUAAUACUAAGAAUAAGCAGAAUAGUUCUUGGUCUUAUGAACAUAGCGGUUUGAAGAAACACGCUCAUAUUCACAAGUCUGAGUAUGAUUUCCCUACAAAACAUUGGCGUUAGGGUGACUCUGGUGAGUCCUCUGUCUGUAUGAAGCCUUUGAACCAUAUGAAGCCUUUGGUAUGGGGUUUGUCUUCUUCCCUGGUGGUGUCAUGAUGACAUUCACCUGAAGAUUCUCAAGACAACUCUUGGGCACCCAGAUCCUCUUCAAAGGUGGUCCAUUCCUGUAGUUAGUACCAAUAUACCUGGCAAACACUUCACCAUUCUGAUUCUUAAACAGUUUAUAGUUUGCAUCAAAGGAUUCAUCAAUGAUAAUCGGUUUAGCACAAGUGAAGCCAGAUAAGGUGGAUGGAUCCACUGAAGGUCCCUUUGCAGCAACUCAUGUGGUUUUGGGGUACUGCUCAGGCUUCCAGUAAGAACCAUCAACAUUCAUUUUCCUCUCGAACCCAACACCCUCUUUCCUAGGGUUUCGGUUCAGAAUCUGCUUUUUGAGGACAUCGCAUAGUGUUUGAUGCCCUUUGAGACUUUUGUACAUUCCUGUCUCAAGCAAUGUCUUCAACCUGGCAUUCUCAUAAGCAAUAGUAGUUGUAUCCUCAGCAAAGGGGUUAGUUACCACAUCAGCAGUUGAAGAUAUUGCAAUAGUAGCAGCAGUAGAACGUUCAGCAACAGAGGUAGCGUUAUCACGCUCAAGGCAUUUUAGACAUGGUGGUUCAAAUCCUUCCUGAGCGGGACUGAUCUGUUGAGCGGGAAGUGACCCAUUCUCUUUUUGAAGAUCUUCAUGAGCCGCUCUCAAUUUCUCAAGUUCUUGCUUCCUUUUAAGAUAAUCGUAGGAAAGCUUUUCAUGAGUUGUUGAGAGUGUUUCAUGACGACUUUCAAGUUCCUCGUACUUAACAUGAAGAUUUUUGAUGUCUUCAAUUAAGGACUGAGAUCGGGUCAUUUCCGCGUCCAACAGGUCAUCACUUUUGUCUAGCAAUUUUUGAAUAUGUUCCAUAGCUUUCUGUUGUUCAGUUGCAAUUUUAGCAAGUGUUUUGUAGCUAGGUUUGGAUUCACAAUCAGAGUCAUCUUCACUUGAUGUUUGAAAGUAGACAUCGCGUGAGUUUACCUUGGCACCGCGUGCCAUGAAGCAGUAGGUGGGAGCAGAGUCGUCCUUGUCAUUAGCAUCAGCGUUGGUGACGGAGCCAUUGUCUUCAGUGUUGAAGAUGGACUUGGCAACGUAGGCUGUAACUAGAGCCAUACUUGCAACGCCAGAGUCGGACUCCUCCUCAGACUCCACCUCUGCCUCCUCAGAAGUAGACUCCUCCUCUGAAUCCAUCUCCUUGCCAACAAAAGCACGAGCCUUGCCAGAUGAACUCUUCUUGUAUGAUGAAGACUUGGAAGAAGACUUUGAGGAUUUCUUCUUCUUGUUGUCAUUAGAAUCAUAUUCCUUGCUCUUCUUCUUCUUGUUGUUCUCAUUGUCCCACUGUGAACAUUGUAUUGAAAUCAAAGAGAGAGAAGAAUCCAUCUAGCUACUAGCUAUGGACCCGUAGGUCUGUGGUGAACUACUCACGCAUCAUCGGAAGGGCAGCAAGGUUGAUGUAGAAGCCCUCCAUGAUCGAUUCCCCUUCGGCAGAGUACCGAAAAAGGCCUCCAGACGGGAUCACGGAAGAACAGAAACUUGCGGCGGCGGAAAAAGUAUUUUGGGUGGCUCUCUGUUGGUUUCCUGAUUUUAGAGAAUUUAUAGAGGUGGAAUUAGGUUAGACGGAGCCACAAGGGCCCACAAGGCAUCAGGGCGCGCCCUAUUGCCUUGUCGUCUCCUUGUUUGCCUUCUGGUCUCCUCCCGAUGCUUCUAGCAUCUCUCUUGUCUAGAAAAAAUUGUCAAAAAGUUUUGUAGUGUUUGGACUUCGGAAAACAGGCAAAAAACAGCUACUGGCACUCGGCACUGGGUUAAUAGGUUAGUCCCAAAAAAUGAUAUAAUUUCAUAUAAAAUAUCCAAGAUUGAUAUUGUAAUAGCAUGGAACAAUAAAAAUUGUAGAUACGUUGGAGACGUAUCAAGCAUCCCCAAGCUUAAUUUCUGGUCGUCCUCGAGUAGGUAAAUGAUAAAAAACAGAAUUUUUGAUGUGGAAUGCUACCUAACAUGUCUAUCAUGUAAUAUUUCUUUUAAGUAUGAAUAUUAAGAUUCGAAUGAUUCAAAGCAAUAGUAUAUAAUUUGACAUAAAGACAUCAAUACUUAGGCAUACUAACAGGCAAUCAUGUCUUUCAAAAUAAAAAUGCUAAAGAACGCUACCCCUACAAAAUCAUAUAGCCUUGUCAUGCUCCACCUUCUUAACACAAAAUAUAAAUCAUGCACUACCUCGGUGUUAGCCAAGCAAUUGGUUCAUACUUUUUAGCGCGCAUUAGCUUUUUCGGUCCCCGUGCAAUACAUGAGCGCAAGCCAUGGAUAUAGCACCAUGGGUGAAAUAGAAUGCAGUGGUAGAGAUUAAUAUGUAUAUGACAAAAGAAAAGGAAGAAAGUCUCAGAUCGACGCGGCUAAUCAACGUGCUAUGGAGAUGCCCAUCAAUUGAUGUCAAUGCAAGGAGUAGGGAUUGCCAUGCAAGAGAUGCACUAAGAGCUAUAAGUGUAUGAAAGCUCAAACUGAAAACUAAGUGGGUGUGCAUCCAACUUGCUUGCUCUAGAAGACCUCGGGCACUUGAGGAAGCCCAUCAUCGGAAUACACAAGCCAAGUUCUGUAAUGAAAAAUUCCCACUAGUAUAUGAAAGUGACUACAUAGGAGACUCUCUAUAUUAAAAACAUGGUGCUACUUUGAAGCACAAGUGUGGAAAAACAUAGUAACAUUGCCCCUUCUCUCUUUUUUCUCUCAUUUCUUUUUGGUGGGCUCCUUUUGGCCUUUUUAUGGGCUCUUUUUGGUCUCUUUUUAUUUAUUUAUUUACUCACUGGGACAAUGCUCUAAUAAUGAAUAAUGAUGAUCAUCACACUUCUAUUUACUUACAACUGCAAAUUACAACUCGAUACUAGAACAAAAUAUGACUCUAUAUGAAUGCCUUUGGCGGUGUAUGAGGAUGUGUAAAGAUCUAGCGUAACAUGUAUAAAAAAUGAUGAACGGUGGCUAAGCCACAAAUACUAUGUCAGCUACAUGAUCAUGCAAAGCAAUAUGACAAUGAUGAUGUUUGUCAUAAAAAAAGAACGGUGGAAGUUGCAUGGCAAUAUAUCUCGGAAUGGCUAUGGAAAUGCCAUAAUAGGAAGGUAUGGUCGCUGUUUUGAGGAAGAUAUAAGGAGGCUUAUGUGUGAUAGAGCGUAUCAUAUCACGGGGUUCGGAUGAACCAGCGAAGUUUGAACCAACUCUUGAGGUGAGAAAGGGCAAUGCACGGUACCGAAGAGGCUAGAAAAUUGCGGAAAGGUGAGAGUGUGUAUAAUCCAUGGACUCACAUUAGUCAUAAAGACCUCACAUACUUAUUGUGAAAGUCUAUUAGCCCUCAAAGUAAAGUACUACUACGCAUGCCCCUAGGGGGGAAGGUUGGUAGGGGUUAACCAUCGCGCGCCCCCGACCUUCACGCAAAGGAAGACACUCAAUAAUAAAUCGUGCUCCAACUUCUUAGCAUAACGGGAGACUGAAAGUGCUAGUUAUCGACUAGAGGGGGGUGAAUAGGUGAUUUUUAUGAAAGUCUUCAAAACACGGGGGCUUUGAAGACAAACAAUAGAAAUGAACCUAUUGAUAAUCAGUGGAAGGUAGACUACACUAGACAAGCCAUAGUCAAGUAAGCAAUGAAGUGAAAGCACGAAGACUAUUAGCAGCUAGGUAGUAUGGAUCAGGAUGGAAGAAAGUAUGAAGCCAAACAACAAUAGUCGUCACACAGUGAAGUCAAUCAGAUCAGGCAAGCAGGCAAUGACUUCACGAAGACAAACUAUAAGUAAAGAGAGGUAAGAGAUAGAACCAGUUGCUUGGUGAGGACAGGGAUUUGUUGGACCAGUUCCAGUUGCUGUGACAACUGUAUGCCUGGUUAGGGAGGCUGAGAUUCAACUCAGAAGACCGCGUCUUCACCUUAUUCCCGUUGAGCUAAGGACACUUAGUCCUCGCCCAAUCACUCUGGUAAGUCUUCAAGGUAGACUUCCAAACCUUCACAGACUUCAUUCACCGGCAAUCCACAAUGACUCUUGGAUGCUCAGAACGCGACGCCUAACCAGCUGGAGGAUUCACAGUCCUCAAGUGUAACAAGUCUUCAGAUCACGCGGACAGAAAGGCUUCAGUGAUGCCUAAAACUCUUUGGCUCUGGGUGUUUUGGGCUUUGUCCUCGCAAGGAUCUCUCUCUCAAAUGCUUCGGAGGUGGGUUGCUCUCAAACGACAAAAGCCGUGCACUAACUCUGAGCAGCCACCAAUUUAUGGUGUAGGGGUGGGCUAUUUAUAGUCAGGAGGCAACCCUGACCUGAUUUGUCUGAAAUGACCCUGGGUCACUAAGGAACUGACACGUGUCCAAUGGUCAGAUUUCAAACACACGCAGCAGCUUGACUUGGGCUACAAGUAAAGCUGACUCAUCCAGCUCUGGAUAAGAUUUGCUCUCAUUGUCUUCGCUCGAAAACAUAGGAUUUGGUUGAGCAUCACUUCAGUCACUCUGACUUUGUUCACUUGGACCCCACUUAAUAGUGCGGUGGUUCCUAUGACUCAACAAAGAAGAAAAGGAAACUACGAAACAACUAUGUCUUCACACUCUAUAGUCUUCACGUGAAUGUCUUCUCAAGUCAUAAUCUUCGUUGUGAAUAUCUUCACAGACCACCAUUGUCUUCAAUGUCUUCACACAUUUUUAGGGCUCAUCUCUGGUAGGAAAACUGAAUCAAUGAGGGACUACUACCUGUGUUAUCCUGCAAUUCUCACAAACACAUUAGUCCCUCAACCAAGUUUGUCGUCAAUACUCCAAAACCAACUAGGGGUGGCACUAGAUGCACUUACAGAGACUAUACAUGUAUGCUUCGGGAAUCACAAACCUUAACACCAAUAUUCUUACUAAACCACAAUCAUUCACUAGUACCUCCCACAUAUUACCAUCUCUAUAUCUCAAAAUUAUUGCAAGGAAUCGAACUUACCAUAUUCAGUGAUCUAAAUGAAAGUUUUUAUUAUAUCCCUCUUGAAUACCUAUCUUAUUAGGACCAAUUUCAUAACUCGUGCAUAUUGCCAUUACUAUUACCAAACCCUCAAAAUGAUAUAAGUGAAGCAUGAGAGUGCAACUAUUUCUUUAAAAUAUAACCACCGUCGUGCUCUAAAAGAUAUAAGUGAAGCACUAGAGCAACUGCCUAGCUCAAAAGAUAUACGUGAACCACAAAGAGUAUUCUAACAAAUCACAAAUAAAUGCGCCUCCCUCUCAAAAAGUUUGUGCAGCAAAGAUGAUUGUGGCAAACUAAAAAUAAAACAAAGGAAAUACCACUAUAAUACAUGAUGCUCCAAGUAAAACUCAUAUCAUGUGAUGAAUAAAAAAUAUAGCUCUAAGUAAUUUACCGAUGGUUGGUAGACGAAAGAGGGGAUGCCUUCCGGGGCAUCCCCAAGCUUAGACGCUUGGGUCUCCUUGGAUAUCACCUUGGGGUGCCUUGGGCAUCCCCAAGCUUAGGAUCUUUCCACUCCUUAUUCCUUCAUCCAUCACGAUCUCACUUAAAACUUGAAAACUUCAGCACACAAAACUCAAGCUUAGACGCUUGGGUCUCCUUGAAUAUCACCCUGGGGUGCCUUGGGCAUCCCCAAGCUUAGGAUCUUUCCACUCCUUAUUCCUUCAUCCAUCGCGAUCUCACUUAAAACUUGAAAACUUCAGCACACAAAACUCAACAGAAAACUCAUGAGAUACGUUAGUAUAACAAGCCAAUCAUAAACUUUAGGUACUAUUGUAAACCCAUUCAUAUUUAUUAUUGCAUAACACCUACUAUAUUCUAACUUCACCAUGACUUAUACCCCCGAUACAAUCCAUAGAUUCAUUAAAACAAGCAAACAAUGGAACAAAAACAGAAUCUGUCAAAAACAGAAUAGUCUGUAAUGAUCUGGACAAACGCAAUACUUCUGUAACUCCAAAAAAUCUGAGAAAUUAGGAUAACAUGGGAAAUAUGUAUAUCAAUCAUGUGUAAAAAAACUCAGAAUUUUAUCACGUUCCAGUGAAUAUAAAAAAUUAUGUUACCGAGCGCAAAAGUUUUUUUCUCACAAAAUCAAAUCAACUAUCAACCAAAUCAUCCCAGAGGCUUUACUUGGCACAAACACUAAUUUAAACACAAAAACACAACCAUAACAGUAGCAUAAUUGUGUGCACACUCAAAAACUUAAAAGAAAAAGGGGAAAUAAAUAUAACUACCGAGUUGCCUCCCAACAAGUGCUACUCCCUCUGUUCCAAAAUAUAGUGCGCCCGCACUUCCCGAGAUUCAACUUUGACCAUAAAUUUAACCACCGAGACCGACUGCGGCGGGAGCAAAAUUAUAUAAUUGAAAAUUUCUUUUGUAUACAAAUUCAUUGGUAUAACUUUUGCUCCCGCCGCAGCGGUCUCGUUGGUUAAAUUUAUGGUCAAAGUUGAGGCACGGAAAUCGAUGACGCACUAUAUUUUGGAAUAGAGGGAGUAUUGUUUUACGCCCCUAGCUAGGCGUAAUGCAUAGUUUCAAGUAUUGUCAUCCUUAGUUUUAGAAAACCUAGCAAUAUCUAUUUCACCUCUUUUCCAUUAUCAAUGAUAUGAACUGAAUGAUCAAGCUUAGUGCUAAGAGUUUUUAUUUCUUUCAAAACACAAAGAGCAUCGAAUUUUUGUUCCAAAGUAUCAAAUUUCCUAUUUUGUGACACCACUUUGCCAUUUAUUUUAGAAUCAAGAUUAAAUAUCCCUCCAAAAUUGGACUCCAUUUAUUUUAGAAGCAAGAUUAAAUAUCCCUCGAAGAUUAAGUAUUGUGAGCUGCGUUGGGAUUUCCUCAAAGAGGAGAGGAUAAUGCGGUACAAGAGAUAAGUGUUUCCCUUAGUUAAGAACCAAGGUUAUCAAUCCAGUAGGAGAACCACGCGAAACUUCGUUAACAGCAUCUACACACACAAAGAAGCAAAUACUUGCACCCGAUGCGAUCAAGGGAGUUGUCAAUCCCCUCAGUGGUUAUUUGCAAGGAUCAAAUCUCGUAGUGAUAUAUAGAUAAAAAAAUAACGGUAAUAAAAUUGUACUCCUCCGUCCAAAAAUACUUGUCCUAGAAAUGGAUAAAAUGGAUUAUCUAUAACUAAAAUAAGUCUAGAUACAACCAUUUCGAGGAAAAGUAUUUCCGGACGGAGGGAGUAGCAAGGUAUUUUUGAAUUUUAUAUAUGAUAAAAGUAGACCCGGGGACCAUAGUUUUCACUGGAGGCUUCUCUCUCGAACAAAAAGCAUACGGUGGGUAGACAAAUUACUGUUGGGCUAUUGAUAGAAAAGCGCAUAGUUAUGAUGAUAUUCAAGGCAAUGAUCAUGUAUAUAGGCAUCACGUCUGAGACAAGUAGACCAACUCCUGCCUGCAUCUAGUACUAUUACUCCACCCAUCGACCACUAUCCAGCAUGCAUCUAGAGUAUUAAGUUAAUAAAAACAGAGUAACGCCUUAAGCAAGAUGACAUGAUGUAGACAAAGAAAAUCCAACCAAUAUGAAUAAACCCCGUCGUUUUCCCCUUAAUGGCAACAAUACAAAUACGUGUCUUGUCCCCUACUCUGUCACUGGGAUAUAGAGCACCGCAAGAUUGAACCCAUUACAAAGCACCUCUCCCAUUGCAAGAUAAAUCAAUCUAGUUGGCCAACCCAAAUGGAUAGAUCAGAGAGAAAUACAAAGCUAUAAUAAUCAUGCAUAAAAGAAUUCAGAGAAGACUCAAUUAAUAUUCAUGAAUAAUCUGAUCAUAAACCCACAAUUCAUCGGAUCCCAACAAACACAUCGCAAAAGAAGAUUACAUCAAAUAGAACUCCAAGAACAUCAAGGAGAACAUUGUAUUGAAGAUCAAUGAGAGAGAAGAAGCCAUCUAUCUACUAGCUAUGGACCCGUAGGUCUGUGGUGAACUACUCACGCAUCAUCCAAAGGGCAGCAAGGUUGAUGUAGAAGCCCUCCGUGAUCGAUUCCCCCUCCGGCAGAGUACAGAAAAAGGCCUCCAGAUGGGAUCACAAAAAAACAAAAACUUGCGGCGGAAAAAAUAUUUUGGAUGGCUCUCUAUUGGUUUCCCGAUUUUAGAGAAUUUAUAGAGGUGGAAUUAGGCCAGACGGAGCCACGAGGGGUCCACAAGGCAUCAGGGCGUGCCUACCCCCCUGGGCGCACCCUGUUGCCUUGUCGUCUCCUCAUUUGCCUUAUGGUCUCCUCCCGAAGCUUCCAGGGUCUCUCUUGUCCAGAAAAAAAUGUAAAAAGUUUCGUAGCAUUUGGACUUCGUUUGGUAUUGAUUUCCUGGAAACCAAAAACAAGAAAAAAAUAGCAACUGACACUUGGCACCGGGUUAAUAGGUUAGUCCCCAAAAAUGAUAUAUAAUUGCGUAUAAAACAUUCAAGAUUGAUACUAUAAUAGCAUGGAACAAUAAAAAAUUAUAGCUACGUUCGAGACGCAUCAGAGGACACUUGGGGAUUGUCAUCUAGUCACGUUCAUCAUGUUUAGUUGAUUCACGCUCGCUACUUUGAUAACUUGAUAUGUGGGUGGACCGGUGCUUGGGUGUUGUUCUUACUUGAACAAGCAACCCACUUAUGAUUACCCCCUCUCGCAAGCAUCCGCAACUAUGGAAGAAGAAUUAAGAUAAAUCUAAGCAUAGCAUGAAACAUAUGGAUCCAAAUCAGCCCCUUACGGAAUAACGCAUGAACUAGGGUUUAAGCUUCUCUCACUCUAGCAACCCAUCUUCUACUUAUUACUCCACAGUGCCUUCCCUUAGGCCCAAGAAUGGUGAAGUGUCAUGUAGUCGAUAUUCACAUGACACCACUAAAUAAAGCAACAACAUAUACAUAUCAUCAAAAUAUCAAAUGAAUACCAACAUCACAUGAUUACUUAUAAUAAGACUUAUCUCAUGUCCUCAAGAACGAAAGUAACUACUCAUAAAUCAUAUUCAUGUUCAAGAUCAAAGGGGCAUUGAAUAUGCUUGAGGAUCUGAACAUUUAAUAUUCCACCAAAUAAACCAACUAGCAUCAACUACAAGAUGUAAUCCACACUACUAGCAACCCACAGGUACCAAUCUGAGGUUUUGGGACAAAGAUUGAAUACAAGAGAUGAACUAGGGUUUGAGAUGAGAUGGUGAUGUGAAGAUGUUGAUGAAGAUUAGUCCUCCUACAAUGAGAGGAUCGUUGGUGAUGUCGAUGACUUCGAUUUCCCCCUCCCAAAGGGAAGUGUCCCCGGUGGAAUCGCUCCGCCGGAGAGCAAAGUGCUCAUGCCCAGGUUCCACCUCGAGACGGCGGUGCUUCGUCCCGAAAGGCUUCUCUUAUUUUUUCUAGGUCAAAACCCUUCAUAUGGCAGAAGAUGGGCACCGAAGGCCAGCUGUGGGCCCCACAAGGCAUCAGGGCACGCCCAGGGGGUGGCCGCGCCAUGAUGCCUUGUGGGCAACUGGUGGCCCCCCUUUGGUAUUUCUUUGCUCCAGUAUAUUUUACAUAUCUAAUGAAAAAUCUUUGUGAAGUUUCAAGUCAUUUGGAGCUUUGUAGAAUAGGUAUCUUUGUUGUAGCUCUUUUAGGUCCAGAAUUCCAGUUGCCAGUAAUCUCCCUCUCCAUGUAAAUCUUCAAAUUAAGUGAGAAAAGGCAUAGAAUUGCAUCAUAAAGUGGAAUAAUGACCAAAAAAAUAUAAAUAACAAUAGGGAAAACAUGAUGCAAAAUAGACGUAUCAGUCUUCACAAUAUUCUGCCAUAGAUCAACUGCCUAGGCAAAUUGUACUCAAAAGACAGGGUUUAGGGACUGAUAACCCUGGCAACGUGAGGCAUGGAACCAAACAGCCUUGGCAACAAGACAUGACCAGAACAGGUGUGUUAAUGACUUGGACUCAUGCAUGCAAAGCUAACAGAAAUACUCAUUGGCCAGCCUCUUAUUUGCAGGUGAUCAACACACUAUAUGUGGUUCAGGUGAAGGAGCCAUACGAAAAACUUGCAGCUAGCCGGCGCCCAAGACGUCAAAAAUGAGGACUUGAAGGUGCAGAGAGUCCUGCCUUGGAAGUGCAAACUAUAGGUUGAGCUUGUGGAGUAGCUUCUAGGUGUUCUGAAAUUCCAGGUGAUGGGAUCCAUCACAUCGUCUCUUAGCUGAAUAUUUGUCUUCCAGACCCAAAGAAAAUUCCUUAUGAUGUCAAAGUUCAGGUCAUGCCGCAGAUCUCGAAUCCAAUUUUGCUCCCAUAAGACGCUUGUGUGAAAUUCCAUUCAGUUGUGUGUGAAUAAAGCUUGUCUUUCUAGCGUCACUCUUCUUCUAAUUCAUUACUCCCUCAAUCCAUAUUACUUGUCGCUCAAAUGGAUGUAUCUAGACAUAUUUUAGUCCUAGAUACCANNNNNNNNNNNNNNNNNNNNNNNNNNNNNNNNNNNNNNNNNNNNNNNNNNNNNNNNNNNNNNNNNNNNNNNNNNNNNNNNNNNNNNNNNNNNNNNNNNNNNNNNNNNNNNNNNNNNNNNNNNNNNNNNNNNNNNNNNNNNNNNNNNNNNNNNNNNNNNNNNNNNNNNNNNNNNNNNNNNNNNNNNNNNNNNNNNNNNNNNNNNNNNNNNNNNNNNNNNNNNNNNNNNNNNNNNNNNNNNNNNNNNNNNNNNNNNNNNNNNNNNNNNNNNNNNNNNGUACAUUUUAUCACUGAAGUAUGUUGAUUUUAGAGCAGCAAAUUGAUUUACCGGGAGGACACACGCGCGCGUGCAAAGCUAGCUACCUAAAGCAGCUUGAUUUUUUUCUAUGAGUCGGACCUGUUUUUAAGCAUAUUUUGCUUUUGGUACAAAUACACUCAUUUCCAAAAUACACUCAUUUGAGAGACAAAUAAUAUGGAUUGGAGAGAGUAUUAUUUUCAGGUCCGUGUUACCUUCAUGUAACUCCCUAUCCAAACAGGAAAUAUAAUACUCUCUCUGUUUCAAAAUAAGUGUCUCAACUUUGUAUUAAUUUUAAUACAAAAUUGUACUAAGUUUGAGACAUUUAUUUUAAGAUAGAGCGAGUAAAUGUUUACAAUGGUUUCUUUUUCUCGGGACAGAUAAAAUCUUGCGGGUGGAGAAGUUUACGAAGCUCCAAACGGGCCCUGCCCUUGCCCCUGCCCCUGCCGCUAGCGGUUGAACCCGUGGAACUUCGUCUUUCUCGUCUCCCCCAAAUCGACGAGCAGGGCGAGCGGAAUUCCAGGGCGAGCUCCCCUCCCCCUCCCUGCCCACUCGCCAAGUCGCCGGCGCCCAGCGGCCAGGCCGUUGCGCCCGGCCCCCCUCCCGGCUCCGAAUUCCCAUCCCGCGACGCCGACCUCUCAGUCCUCGGAUCUCCCGCCAGCCGUCUGGUCGCUCCCAAAGUGAGUAAGGUCUCAUCCGACUUUCUCUUCCUGCCAAGCCCUCUCCUCCCCUCCCGUCUCGUUAUUCAUCAUCUGCUCCCCUACCCGCGGAAGGUUUUGGUAGUUGUCGCUACAUACACCUUGUUUCUUGCGUUUCAAGGGGCUAGGGCUAAUGUAUAAUUUACCAACAAAUCUAGGUGCUUAUGCUGCUUUGGCGGAGGAAGUAUUUAGAAACGACCUUAUUACAAAAUUAAGAGUGUAUAAACAGGCUGCUGGUCCUGAUCAUCAGGAAUUCUCGUCGGGUAAUAAUAUUUCUAGGUUGUCCGAGGAUGAUCAUCUUUGGGGUUUCAUUUUCUGCUAGGUUGUUCACGAAUAGAAUUUUAAGUGUCUAAACAAGUUUUUUGCUACGAAUUCAAAGGACCAUUAACUUUGGGGUUUCGUUCUUUGCUAGGUUGUUCACGAAUUGAAUUACUGGCGAUUGAUUUGUGUGCAGUAAUAUAGUUUUUCUGUUUGACUUUGAUUCAAGUAAUAUAGUUUUAUGUUCCGCACUGCAGUUAACUCGCCAACCAUUCCUAUUGUCCUUUAGCACCGUAAUUUUUACCCAUAAUUCAGUUGUGUUAAUCAGUACAAAACUACCUGAUACCUAUCCAUAAGGUUAUUGUAGCUAACCACCUGAUGCUGACUGAACUUUAUACUCCCUCUGUCCCAAAAUAUAGUGCGCCCAUGCUUCCCGAGGUUCAACUUUGACCAUAAAUUUAACCAACAAGACUGGCUGUGGCGGGAGCAAAAAUUAUAUAAUUGAAAACUUCUUUUGAAUACGAACUCACUGGUCUAAUUUUUGCUCCCGCCGCAGUCGGACUCGUUGGUUAAAUUUAUGGUUAAAGUUGAAGCACGGGAACCGAGGACGCACUAUAUUUUGGAACGGAGGGAGUAUUACAUUAUUGUUGCAAUUGUGAAGAAGAUAUGUUACAAUUGUAGAGUAGCUAAAAAAGUUAAUUGUUGCAUUUGUGAAGAAGAUAUGUUACAAUUGUAAAGUAGCUAAAAAACAAUUGUUAUGCUGCUUUGCAGAGGAAGUAUUUAGAAAUGACCUUAUUACAAAAUUAAGAGUGUCUAAAAUCUAAACAAGUUGUUGGUCCUGAUCUUUAGGAAUUCUCGCCGGCUAAUAAUAUUUCUAGGUUGUCCAGGAUGAUCAACUUUGCGGUUUCACUUUUUUGCCUGUUUGCGAAUAAAAUUAAAUAAAAGUGUCUAAACAAGUUGCUUGCUAGGAAUUCAAGGACGAUCAACUUUGGGAUUCAUUUUUUGCUCGGUUGUUCAUGAAUUGAAUUACUGGUGAUUGAUUUGUGUGCAAUAAUAUAUUUGUCUGUUUGACUUUGAUUCAAGUAAUUUGCACCAUGCAGUACAAAUAUCAUAAUUUUUUAAAUUGAGACUAUGACCACUUAUUCGUGAGACUCGUCUUCAUCCUUGAGGUUGAGGGAGGAGAACAUGAGCAGGGAGAGCAUAGGAUUUAUUCUACUCCAAGUCUCCAACUCUAACUAAGUUUAGCGACAUGUUCUUACAUGUCCUUUUAACAUUGUUGCUGACUUGUUGUGUAUCUCAGUUUUACCACCAGCUAUUGUUAUGUUCUGCAUUGCAGUUGUGUUAGUUCAGUUACCUGAUACCUAUCCAUUAGGGCUAACUACCUGUUGCUGACACAACUUGAUGUUACCGUAAUUUUUCUAAUAGAAAUAAACUCUAGUUUAAAGAUAGGUGAUGGUAAUAAAUUUCUAACCGUGUUCCAUGUCGUGUAAAGAUUUAUUUAAGUUGCGUACGCAUAACAGUAGCUAUUAACAUUGGCUGGCCCAACUCUUGGAGUGGUCCUUUCACCUUGGCCAUUCUCAUUUCCAAACGCCACACUUCAUGGAGGUGUUCAUCAUCGCUGCUUGGAACGUUUGGUAGCCAAGAAAUGCAAAGAUCUCUGACAUUGUUGUCCCUAACCUUACAUCCUGGAAAUCCUACUUAAGAAUAGCUAAGGCGCCAUUCAAGGUUUGGGUUUGCUCUCUAACCUGAAUCUUAUCUACAUAAGUUUUGCUAUGCUUUGGAUAGUUGUUGUGAACUCUUACUGUGGGGCCUCCCCUAGAGCUUUUAGUCAAAAAGAAAGGUGACGAGCCAUUAAACGUAGUAUUAAAAACCAUAUGUGUACUGUUAUUAUUCUUGUAAAUUAAUAACCUUUCCUAUAAGUACCAUUAUUUUUUAGCUUGCAGCAUUGUGGUGGUGCCAGCUUCACAUUCUGUAGUCAUAAGAUGCAUCAUGCAAAUAUAUUUUCCCCAACAUUUUUGACUUACACUCAACAUUUCCAGUUAAAGACAUGCCUUUUGUUUAUGUGUGUUGUCUUAUUUGGUUAGAAGAUCCGCUGGACCAGCACAACGAGGAGACCCAGGCCAGAGAGCAAUCCUGCUGUGAAGUAGUCAUCUAUGUCAUCUAGGAGUAAUUCAAAGAGGCCCUCAGAUGACAAUGUUGCCUCUGACGGAGGACUCCGACGUCGAGAGUUUUAUCUGAAUGGACCUUCCCUGGACCGUGCCUCCAAGCGUAUCACGGAGGGUGUUCUGUCCCCUCCCAACUUGAAAAACUCACAUAAGAGCAAGGGGAGCCACCAGUUGCAUUCUGAGGCAUCAGGAAGUAACUCAAGAAAGGGUGAAAGCAAUCAUGGGAUACAUGUGUCAGCAGGGAAUGAUGAUUUGUCAACCACGCAGAAACCAAGGAAAGUGAAGCUCAAAAUUGGUGGAAUCAGUCGGACCAUACCGGCAAAACCAAACCCUGCCAUACCAGAUUCCAGGUCUUCAGCUGCAAAGCCUACACGGCCUGGAGAUUCAUCGCACCGGCAAAAGCAUGGUAAUCAGGUAAACACCAAGUGAUCAUAUCUUUUGUUUCGUAGUGUCAUUUUGACUGAACAGAAGAAAAUUUGCUAGCUUGCUAAAUUCAAGUUCUGCAAGGAAAACUGGUUGGUGUUAUUAGGACAUACGCAUGCAGUUUCUAUCGAGAUAUUUCUUUUAUCUCAUAAUCUUGGCACUAUACCUGUUCUGAUUAUACUCCCUCCAUUUUAUUUACUCUGCAUAUUAGCUUUGACCUAAGUCAAACUUUAUAAAGUUUGACCAAGUUUAUAGAAAAUAAUACUCCGUAUAAACUUUCACAAUAACAAAUACUCCCUCUGUCCCAAAUUACUUGUCUUAGAUUUGUCUAGAUACAUCCAUUUGUCUAGAUACGGAUGUAUCUAGACAAGUUUUAGUGUUAGAUACAUCCGUAUCUAGACAAAUCUAAGACAAGUAAUUUGAGUCGGAGGUAAUAUAUAAGAUGUGAAAAUAUAUGCAAUGAUGAUUCUAAUGGUACUUAUUUGGCACUGUGGAUGUUAAUAAAUUUUUGUAUAAACUUAGUCAAAUUUUACAAAAUUUGACUUGAGACAAAUCUAAUAUGCAGAGUAGAUAAAAAAGAAGGGAGUAUUUUGCAAGUCAUGAUGUUAUGUUGGUUCACCGCACGUCCUGUCCCUUUAUUUGCUUCAAAUUGCUAUCCAUAAUUGAUACCCAAUUAAAACGAUGAAUUACUUUCAGACUGAAGGUGCCAAAGAUUCAAAUAGGUUGCCCUCUUCUCAAGACAAGAAAACAAGAAAGCUGAGGAAAAUUGAAGAUACCUUGACUCCGGAACAACCUGCCAAAGUUCAGAGAGAAGCGUCUUCGGAUCCUGUCCGGAAGAGUAGAAGGAUUGCUAAGAAAUCCAACAUGGACAGUGAAUUAGAUGAGGAAUAUGGUUUAAGUACUCCUGAAAAUCAUGGAGCUUCUAAUGAUAAUGAGGGUCAUAUUCGUGAACCUAAAAACAAAGGAGGGAGUAACCCUAAGAAGAAUGCCUUGAAGAAAGACCGGAGCAGGAGCACAGUUUAUGAGGUUGAUAAUGAUUUUGUUACACCCCAAUCAAAUAGAGAUGGCAAGAAAAGGUCAAGAGAUUCUACUGAUGCUGAUGAGGAUAAUGCAGAAGAGGAGCUGGCCUCUGAUAAUGAGCUUGAAGCUGAAAACAAGAAGCAGAAAGCAGUCACUGAAUUGUCUGCCAGUGUUAAGAGUGAACCUCUCACAACGCGUCGCCGAGCCCUUCAAUCAUGGAUGGAUGGGAACAGCAACAGUACCAUUGAGUUCCCCGAUGGUUUACCAGCAGCUUCGUCAAGAAGUACAUACUACCUUGUUGCCUAUUGUAACUUGACUGAAGUCUUGCGCUGAUUUAAUUUGAAACAUUUUUCUGUGGCUCCAGGCAAGAAGGAAAAGCUCUCUGAUGCUGAGAUGCUCGCGAAGAAGGCUGAGGCUGCUCAGCGCCGCAAGAUGCAAGUGGAGAAAGCCACUAAAGAAAGCGAGGUUGGAGAAACAUUUGCUUACUCUCUUUUAAACUUCCUGGAAUAGGUUCAGUUCCUAGGAGUUCUCAAAAGUGUUAACUGCAGGCGGAAGCUAUAAGGAAAAUACUGGGCCUGGACACCGAGAAGAAGAAAGAAGAGAGGAAGCAGAAGGAGCGAGAGGAGAAGGUCCAUUGCAUCAUUUGACCAUGCCCAUGACACUCGCGUUUCUACUACCAUUACCUUCUGACAGAAUCAUUCCUUUUUACUCAGGAGAAGGCAGCCAGAGCGCAAGAACUCGCCAGGAGCUCCAUCCGGUGGGUCAUGGGGCCCACAGGCACGGUGGUCACGUUCCCUGAAGAAGUAGGCCUCCCCAGUAUCUUCAACUCCAAACCCUGCAGGUAACCAAUCCUCCCAUCCCUCCCCGCAUUUGAGAAAUCAUCAGCAACAAAUGUGCGCCUCAGAUAACAUCGUCUCACUUUGCCUUCAUCACCCAGCUACCCUCCGCCGCGUGAGAAGUGCGCCGGACCGUCUUGCACGAACGCGUACCGGUACAGGGACUCGAAGCUGAAGCUCCCCCUCUGCAGCCUGGAGUGCUACAAAGCUGUCCGCGGGAGCGCUUGAUUUUGAGGACACUGGGGUGGCGUCAGAGCUCCCUAUUUUCGCAGCCGCAUUCAUUCAUGCACCUUCAGAAUAAGAGAGGACGGCCAGUCCUGACGAUGCAAAUUUGUUCGUUGGUCCAAUAAGCGAGUUACAAGAUAGUUACACAUAGCUCUGUGGGUAAAAGAUUAUCGUGUACUGCACCAGUUUGUUUUACUACACCGUUGAGAUGUACUGAGCCAGUGAUGUUACCAGAUGAUUUCUAAGUAGAUAUAUUACACAUACAUACAUAUAGAGAAGACAGCAGACAAAGAUAGUUUUAUUUUUCCUGGCGAGUUUUCAUUUUUAUAUAAACCUUAGUGAGUUGGCGUUUGUAUUUUGGAAGCAAGAAACAAAAGGCACACAAACAAAUUUAUUGUUGCACAUGUGAAGGAAAUUUGUGCAAGAAAUUUGCCACGAUGUCAAAGAAGCUAAAAAAAUAAAAACAAUUGGGGGCAUUCCGAGAAUUGAACUCGGGACCUCUCGCACCCUAAGCGAGAAUCAUACCACUAGACCAAAUGCCCUUUGGAUGACCACAAAGGUUUAACAUCUCUAACAUAGGUGGGCAUGCCGAUGGGCCCUCCACCCGCCCACUCGCUCAGAGCCUCAGACCACCCGUGUGGACCGGGCCCGUCCGCGAAUCUCAGCCCUUAAAUGGGCGUUUCCGCAAAAACGCCGUCCCCCGUAACAAAUCGAAGAGUGGGUCUCUCUCUCCCGGCGGCGCAGGCGUUUCUCUCCUUCUCCUCCGGCGGCGGCAAGGUCAGACCCCUCUUCCCACACCGCUCGAACCUGCUCCAUUCAAUCGAUCCCUCGGGUUUCCGUGUUCUGACGCACGGCUCGGUUCCUUCAUGGCCUUCUCGCGGAUCGGAUCCUAGGUUUCCCCCCUCUAAAUUGUUAGGAACCGUUCCAGAUCUGGUCGCUCGGUGCCUGAAUGAUCCAUUUCGCUAGGGUUGUUGUUUGCAUCGACCGGAGGACUAGAAAUUUGGGAUGUUAGGCGAUGAUUUAGGGGAGCAGGAUGCGUGUGAUUUGCGAGGGGGUAGUUUUUUUUGUGUGUGUGAAUACGGCGUCAUGUUCGUAACCCACGGCGUGCGAUGCCCCCAUCCGGUGCGAUUUUUUGGCGAUAUUUGUGUUCAUAGGCUAGUGCUUUUGAGGGCUAUGCGAUUUGGAUUGGGAAAUGGUGGCUAAAAAAGAAACAUCGCUCGCUCCAAUGAGAUGUGAAUAUGAUGUAUCAGAUGGUAUAUGUGGGAACUAGGAGGUAUCUUUUGGCGUGGUACCAUCGCUGCUGCCUGUGGAUCGUUUGGCUCAGUGCUAUCCCUGACUAGCUCAUAUUCAGUUUUGAUUUGAGGGCCAUGCGAUUUGGAUUGGGAAAUGGUGGCUAAGAAAGAAACAUCGUUUGCUGCAAUAAGAUGUGAAUAUGUAUCAGAUGAUAUAUCUGGUAAUUAGGAAGUAUACUUUGCCGUGGCACCAUCACCGCUGCCUCUGGAUGGUUUGGAUCAGUGUAAUCCCUUACUAGCACAUUAUGUGUUCACUAGUGUGUCAUCAUCGGUUUCACAUAUGAAAUUAGGGUUGCCUUCUAUUGCACUGUCAUAGCUUCUAACAUCCCAUAUCAUUAUUGAACUUUGUUAUCUUUUUGCUCAGCAACCUGCAUCCUGUUCAUGAUGGUAUUGCGACUUGUGUAGUUCUCGACUUUGCCGUGCACAUGAAUGAGUGGUGUUGCAGGACUGUGCUUUUAUUAUUAUUCUAGUUAAUUCAUAUUCUUAGAGCACUAAUAAUUUCUCUCUGCUGCACUUAGCACAUUACAAUUGUACAUUGUCCUCUCAUUUCAUGUCAGCAUAACUCUAUCUGCAUAUGUUUUUAUAUGUGCAACUGUUGUGCUAUCCGCGGUAACAUUAUAGGUUUGUGAGGUAUCAGUAUUGUGAAUAACCUGCUGAUAUGGCGCUCUAUAAAGUGCCAUUAGUCUAUGCGAGUGGGGUUCCAGCUGGUGUUGUGGUAUUAGUUCCUUUAUGAAGUAUGAACGUAUCAGCACAACCAUAUUGCUGUGUUGGUAGAGCUCAUCUAUGUUGAUUACUUGGUUUGGCUUAUAUUCAAUAGUACUCCCUCCGUCCGGAAAAGCUUGUCCCUCAAAUGGAUGUAUCUAGCAUAUAGUUAGUGCUAGAUUCAUCCAUUUGAGGAACACGGUUGGGACAAGUUUUUUCGGACGGAGGGAGUAUAUGUUAGCUAGAUUCAUGUCCUUUCAGUAUCCCAAAGCAGAAAAGUUCUUUUAUUGAUGAAGAUGCUUAUGUUAAAAGUAAGUCACCCCAAGUGCAAACUUAUUAUAGAUCUCAUCAAGUAUACUUUCUGUGGGUAUUUUCUUUGAUGGAAAGGAUUUUUUAUUUUUCUUAGUGAUAUCUUGAAUUUGAGUGAACCUGGUCUUGACUUAUCUUGUAGUUUGUCUGUAACUUCUUAAAUAUGCAUUGUGUUGAAGAAAAUGACUUGUUGUGGCAAUUAUGAUGCUGCCUUCUACAAGCCAAAUGUCAUUGUCCAUCUUCUUUUGGCCGAGUGCUUUGUAUGAAACAAUGCAUAAUUUGAGUGGUGAUUGUUGCAUUUGCUAGGAUGUUGAUAAUUUAUGGUUAAUCUGAUGAUGGGUGAUAAGGAAGUUCCUCCCAACUAAUUGCUUUGCCUCAUUUAUGCUUUAUUGACUACGACGGUUGUGUCCUCUGUGCAUGAGUGGCAGGUUAGGUGAAGGGUACACUGCAUACAUUUUUUGUUCUUGAAAGAAGCAAUGAUUGAUGCUGAGGAUGGAACCAUUUAUUGUGUCACAUUUUUUCCCUGCUCCAUCUUAAAAUACCUUUUUAAAAACUUGGGCGGUGGAAUAGUAUGAUACUAGGAUCCAAAUGCAGGGAGUUGACUCUUUUUGUAACUACUAUUGUUCACGAAAGAGGUUUUGCUGAGCAGUUGAUGAAUCAGAGCCUCUUUUUCAUACUCUAUUGUUUGUGAAUCAUGCUGGUUUAACAUAGCUUGGUCAACUAAUUUUACAACUCAAAAUCUUGAAGUUCUUGAUUCAUAUUCUAGUUCUUCCAGUUUCAGCUUGGUUACGUCUUGAAAAUUUGCACUGACUUGUUUUUGUGCAAUUAACCCAAGCGACCUUUGGAUGCGUGAAAUACCAUAUAUCAUGUCCUGAUUGUUUUAUGUUGUUUGCACAUGCCUGCAUUUGUUUAAAGUAUCUUGCUGCUGCCUUGGUGAAGAUAUGCUGUCACCAUGUUCCCACGAAAUCAGCUCACAGAAUCUUCUCAUCUUCUGCAGGCAUUUUGGCAUCUUGAGCCCAACAGCUAGCAGAUGGCAGGCGGCAGAGUUGCACAUGCGACCCUCAAGGGGCCGAGCGUGGUGAAGGAGAUCUUCAUUGGACUCACCCUUGGGCUGGUUGCUGGUGGUAUGUGGAAGAUGCAUCACUGGAACGAGCAGAGGAAGACCCGAUCCUUCUAUGACAUGCUCGAGAAGGGGCAGAUCAGCGUCGUUGUCGAGGAGUAGUUCUGAAGUGCUGAACCAGAAGUUCUACAUCUCGAAGUCUUUUGUCAUUUUGGUUUUGCCAGUAAUUUCUGAAACUCUCUGGAGAGCAUGACAGAGUGAUUGCUGUGGAGAUUGUCAUGAAAAUAAGCACACCACCAUUUGAGAACAUCGAAUCAUUUUGAAUUUGCUUUUUGUCCUAUCAAAUAUGUCUUGUCUCAUAUGUGUUGCAAACAAAUUCAGGGUUUGGAAGGCUUCCCUCUGACAUGAAUAUGAUUUAGGUUUCACUGUCAUCCUUUUGGAAGUGAGCUCACCCUUUUGGCUUAAUGCAAUGGUGGGAUGCCUAACAAGCUACUCCUUGUGUUUGAUAUUAUCAUGAAUGGAACAAGCACCAUCAUUAUGACUUAUAACUGGUGUUCUUCUAUCUGGUGAUGUCAUUUGGUUCGGUCAAGAUAAGUUUUUAAGGUUUUCCCUUGCCUUUCACCGUCGUUUUCGUAUGCGGUCAUGAGUUUAGUUUUCUGAUGACGGAUCUUGUUCUGCUUGCUUACACUACCGUCAUUAACCAUUAUUGCGUGAUUACUGAUCAAAGGUGCUGAUGUAUAUUCUGUUUCUUCCCUGUUGGAACACAUAUCUUGAUGGUUGUGACAUGGGUUGUGAUCUAGUGGUACCAUUUGAUUCUUGUCACCUUGCUUUUGCCUCUGCAAAGGUUGGAAUAGAUGCAAGAAAAUAAACAACAUAGAACAGAGAGCUGUCGGAUAGAAUCCAGGAGGAACCUUGAAGCUGAAGAUCUUUCUCUGCUUUUGAGCACUUGAUGUUUCUCUGCACUCAAGGUGAUUCGAUGCCUUCCACCUUAUUUGUGAUUUGAUAGGAGCCCACAGAUUUAUACGACUUGGUGUGGGCUCAAAAAACCAUGUGAAUCUGCAAAACUGGCCAAAUUGUUCUUCAUUCAAUUCAACAAGAAACCAACAUCCGGUGACUAUCGUAAAAUCUGAUCAAACACUUGAAUUAAUACUUGGAACACAGCAGAAUUUACACUGAACACUGGAACCAAACAUAAUAACAUGACAUGGUAAUAACAUUGAACAGAAUUAUCACAAAUUCACGAUACAUAGAACACAACCAUACAUAACCCUUAUUACUGUUACAUUACAUAGGACAUGGAGGACGAGGACGACGACGGCGGACACUUACUGAAACAUAAUAAUAAACACAACAUAUAGCAGCAAACUACGCCUUGGUAAUAAUCCUCAAGGCAGCAGCCAAGUAGGGUAGAUCUUCUUCCUCUUGCCAGCCACAGCUCAGCUCCGCUCCUACAGGGGAUCCUCAAUUAUUGACCCAAUCAUCACCGGAUCGAUCAGUACUGGAGCAUGUGCGUGGCGGUGGCGGCGAUGGGCAUGGCGGUGGCAGGGUACGGGAUCUGCCACGGCCGGAGCAGGGGGUCGUCGGGCGGGCACUCCUCCUGGAUGUCCAUGGCGACGCCGCUGAACUCCUCGACGACGCGGAGCACCUGGUUGACGGAGCGCAGCCGGUCGCCGAGCUCGGCGGCGCGCGCCCGGAGCACGGUGUUCUCCUGGUCCACGCGCACGAACUGCCCGGUGAUGUCGUUGGCGCGCGCCAGCACGCGCGCGUUCUCGGCCUUGAGCCGCGCCACCUCCUGCACCAGCUCGUCCAGGUGCUGCUGCUUCCGCAGCCGCGACCGCCGCGCCGACUCCCGGUUCGACAGCCGCCUCUUCUCCCGCCGGUUGUCCCCGGCCGAGAACGUCGCCCCCGAGUCGCCGUCCGAGCCCGACAGCCUCCCACCUCCCGGCGACAGCGACGACGACGACAUCUUUGCACCGGAAUCACUACUACCUGGCUACUGCUGCUGCUGCUGCUACGGUUCUUAUUUAUCACUUGUUGACGCAGGAAAAGGAAACAAGAAGAAGAAGAAGGAGGAAAUAGUUUACUGCUAGCGACGGCGGAUUUGAGAGGGCCAAUUAUGAGAUCACAUAAAAGUAGUAGAGGAAGACGACGGAGAAGGACUGGAGGAAGCAGCACCGGCGCAGGUGAGUGGCGAUCUUCAUAAAGCUCAGAGAUUGCGCCUCAGCAUGCCUGGACAAACCAUGGCCAGCAAGAACCUCCAGCGCAACAAAACCCAGAGAUUUCAAGCGGAACAACGACCCAGCCUCUCCCGCUGAUCUAGCCUAGCCUAGCAAGAACAGCAGCUCCCUCAACCCAAAGAAAUNNNNNNNNNNNNNNNNNNNNNNNNNNNNNNNNNNNNNNNNNNNNNNNNNNNNNNNNNNNNNNNNNNNNNNNNNNNNNNNNNNNNNNNNNNNNNNNNNNNNNNNNNNNNNNNNNNNNNNNNNNNNNNNNNNNNNNNNNNNNNNNNNNNNNNNNNNNNNNNNNNNNNNNNNNNNNNNNNNNNNNNNNNNNNNNNNNNNNNNNNNNNNNNNNNNNNNNNNNNNNNNNNNNNNNNNNNNNNNNNNNNNNNNNNNNNNNNNNNNNNNNNNNNNNNNNNNNNNNNNNNNNNNNNNNNNNNNNNNNNUGGGAGCUCGAGCUUGGUUGAUGUGGAGAGCAAUGGCAGCCACCCAAUCGGAGGAGGAAGAGGAGGAGGAAGGGGGAGGGGAUCAGGUCAGGGCGGAGGGGUUAUUUAUUGGCCGGGGAAGGGCACUCCUGUAACUUCACACGCGAGGGCGUUCUGGUAAUUCCAUGCGAGGGUGUUUCCGUAAUUUUGCCAGGCCACGGCGACGGCGUAUGUGCAUUCUAGAUGGACGGAGAGGGUAGAAAGGUGGAGGAAUCUUUGCUGGUCCGGUGCUGCUGGGUGGCUCUCCGUGGCCCUCUCCAGAUGGGAUUUUUCUGGAGUUGCUUUUCCCCCAAAUGCUAAGCUCACAGCUGGUGGCGUGCCACCGGUGCCGAUGGUGUGCGCUUGGUGUUUGUUUCCGGGUGUUGGUGGUUGCCGUGCCGUGUUUGUUUGAGGGGUCAUGGUGUUGUAUCGUGUUUUGACAGAUGGUUCGCAUUGUAAUUUUGGAUUUAUCUUAAUUUUGAUGAAAAAAAUGUGUAUUUAAUUUUAGUGAAAAACACUUUAUAUGCACUGGCUUUUGUCCGGGUCUAGCAUAUAGAUGCUACGCCUUUAACUAUAGGCCGUCCAUUACAAAAUUGAGGUUUCGAGAAUCUGAUGUGCUUGUUUGCAUAUUUAAGGUUGAUGGCUGACGUGACGUGUUUGAUUUUACUUUUUAGUGAAAUACACUUUAUACAUACUGGCUUUUGUCCUAGACUAAUAGGUAGGUACUACGCCUUCAACUAUAAGCCGUCCAUUACAAAAUCAAGGUUUCGAGAAGCUGAUGUGCUUGUUGGCAUUUUAAGGCUGAUGGCUGGCGUGACGUGUUUGAUUUUACUUUUUAAUAAAAUACACUGGCUUUUGUCCUAGUCUAAUACGUAGGUACUACGCCUUCAACUAUAAGCCGUUUAUUACAAAGUCAGGGUUUCGAGAACAUGAUGUGCUUGUUGGCAUUUUAAGGUUGAUGGCUGGCGUGACGUGUUUGAUUUUACUUUUUAGUGAAAUACACUUUAUAUACACUGGUUUUUGUCCUAGUCUAAUACGUAGGUACUACGCCUUCAACUAUAAGCCGUUCAUUACAAAGUCAGGGUUUCGAGAACCUGAUGUGCUUGUUGGCAUUUUAAGGUUGAUGGCUGGCGUGACGUGUUUGAUUUUACUUUUUAGUGAAAUACACUUUAUAUGCACUGGCUUUUGUCCUAGUCUAAUACGUAUGUACUACGCCUUUAACUAUAAGCCGUCCAUUACAAAAUCAAGGUUUCGAGAACAUGAUGUGUUUGUUGGCAUCUUAAAGUUGAUGGAUGACGUGACGUGUUUGGUUUUAGGCAUAUGACAUUGUAUCUUGUUUCACAAGAUUGUCACACUUUAGAUAUUUGGAUGCUCCCGACUUUGAAAGAGAUCUUAUGUGUUUUACAUUUAGAAGCAAAAAAUAUUUAUUGAGUGAAGACGGAUGACGGUAUUGUAUCAUGAUUCCACAGACGGUUUGUGCUAGAAUUUUGGACUUGCCUUUUUUCAGCAGAAAAUUGAAGUAUAUGUUUUUUAAGUAAAACAUUUGUGUAUAUUAAUGACAGGGCUAUACAUGUCUGGGGGUGGGAUUGGAAAAAUCAUUGAUUUUUUUCUAGCACUAAUUAAGAUUGAAGAAAGCAUAGUCAUCCCCUCCCUUCCCAACGAUUCACAUUUUCUGUUUUGCACCUACCAUUCUCGGCUAGCAUCGCCACUGACAUAUACAUUAAUGUGUAUAGGUCUAACAGCUAGAUGCCACGCUCUAACUAUAAGAUGAGAUUUUCUCUUCAAGAAGUUUCCCAAAAAUGAAGCCCACAACGGAAGGCGUGCCAUGUGUGAUGAGAUGGCUCUUGGCGUUUAUGAGGUGUUGGUGGCUAGGGCGGCGUGUUUGUUUGAUGGGCCCGGUGUUGUAUAAUGCUUUGAUACGGGGUUUGCAUGUUGUAUAAUGCUUUGAUACGGGGCUUGCAUUAGAAUUUGGUUUUUUUGGUGCUUUUGCCGAAAUCUAUGGUCUUUCCAGGAAACUUUGGAAUGAUUUGCAGCAACCUAUAUUGGGUUCCCUUUCUUGCAACCAUAGCAACAUGGAUAGAUAGUCGAAAAGGAACCAGAAAAGGAUGGAAUCGAGGCCAUAAAUCAACCCCAAAUUGGACCAACCAACAGAGAAAAUCCACCACUAUUUUCACCACAAAAUCAGAUCAGGCAAGAGGGAAAAUCAACAGGAGAAGAAACCACACGAACGCCCUCUUCUAUGUCUCCCUCUUCGUCAGCGUGGACCACAUCACCGGCUAUGUGAGGCCAAGUUGGCUAGCUUUAAGGUUUAAACAAGGUACAUGCAAACCUAAACCACCACCAGCUUCUUGUUGCUGCUGCUUUGACGUGUGCACGACCUCUCCUUUCCACUCCUCGUAGUCCCCUGUAGCCUAGGUUGAGUGAGAGAGGGGGGAUUGGAUGUAGAGGCAAACCUGCACCACCUCGAGUUCCUUGCUCCUGCUCUUCCAUUUGGCGAGCCUCCCCUAACCAUCGACUUCGCCCGCAUCCGUCACUCCACCUCCCGCACGUGUCACAACCUCCAUGGCCUUCUCCUCCCGCCCGGACCCAGUUGCUCCCAUAGGUCCCAAGCGAUCGGAGGUGUUCAUCCAUGAUGACGAGGGGGGGGGGGCGAUGGAGAAGGAGGGAGGGUCGUGGCGGUUGUGUUGGUGAGUGAUUGGGGUAAGAGGGGGUGCAGCGGAUGUGGAUUGGGGUUUGUAUAGCGCCGAUCACGCACGUCUUGUGUGCAAGUGCGUGCGGUGGGAGGAGUGGAUUGGUGAAACCCUCUUGCACCUGCCUGAUGUCCCACCCAGCCAAUCCACGUUGGGAACGAGCCCACCAGUCAUAGAAAAACAAAUGUGAGGUGAAAACCAGAUUAACCACAAGGUGAAUAUCGAACGGAGGAGAGGAAGCAGUUGACCAAAACGAUGAUGAUCCAAUGGCCAGAAGCGGACCAAAUCUGGGGAACCUCCUGGUGGCAAGUUGGCUAGGG